UACGUAGGGCGCAAGCGUUAUCCGGAAUUAUUGGGCGUAAAGAGCUCGUAGGCGGUUUGUCGCGUCUGCCGUGAAAGUCCGGGGCUCAACUCCGGAUCUGCGGUGGGUACGGGCAGACUAGAGUGAUGUAGGGGAGGACUGGAAUUCCUGGUGUAGCGGUGAAAUGCGCAGAUAUCAGGAGGAACACCGAUGGCGAAGGCAGGUCUCUGGGCAUUAACUGACGCUGAGGAGCGAAAGCAUGGGGAGCGAACAGG
rnacentral:rRNA from 1 species